rnacentral:rRNA from 1 species
CACGUAGGGUGCGAGCGUUGUCCGGAAUUAUUGGGCGUAAAGAGCUCGUAGGCGGUGUGUCGCGUCGGCCGUGAAAACCUGCAGCUUAACUGUGGGCUUGCGGUCGAUACGGGCAUCACUGGAGUUCGGCAGGGGAGACUGGAAUUCCUGGUGUAGCGGUGAAAUGCGCAGAUAUCAGGAGGAACACCGGUGGCGAAGGCGGAUCUCUGGGCCUUACCUGACGCUGAGGCGCGAAAGCCAGGGGAGCGAACGGG